rnacentral:rRNA from 1 species
CCUACGGUGUGCUGCAGUGAGGAAUAUUGGUCCAUGGGCGCGAGCCUGAACCAGCCAAGUAGCGUGAAGGAUGACUGCCCUACGGGUUGUAAACUUCUUUUAUAAAGGAAUAAAGUUAGGCACGUGUGCCUUUUUGUAUGUACUUUAUGAAUAAGGAUCGGCUAACUCCGUGCCAGCAGCCGCGGUACUACGGAGGAUCCGAGCGUUAUCCGGAUUUAUUGGGUUUAAAGGGAGCGUAGAUGGGUUGUUAAGUCAGUUGUGAAAGGUUGCGGAUCAACCGUAAAAUUGCAAUUGAUACUGGCAGUCUUGAGUACAGUGGAGGUAGGCGGAAUGCGUGGUGUAGCGGUGAAAUGCUUAGAUAUCACGAAGAACUCCGAUUGCGAAGGCAGCUUACUAAACUGCCACUGACAUUGAUGCUCGAAAGUGUGGGUAUCAAACAGGAUUAGAUACCCGGGUAGUC